GGGCGAUUGGUCUAGUGGUCAUGACGCCUGCCUGACAUGCAGGAGCUCGUGGGUUCAAACCCCACAUUGCCCA
rnacentral:tRNA from 1 species